AACGAACGCUGGCGGCAUGCCUAACACAUGCAAGUCGAACGAGACCUUCGGGUCUAGUGGCGCACGGGUGCGUAACGCGUGGGAACCUGCCCUUAGGUUCGGAAUAACUCCCCGAAAGGGGUGCUAAUACCGGAUAAUGUCUUCGGACCAAAGAUUUAUCGCCUUUGGAUGGGCCCGCGUUGGAUUAGCUAGUUGGUAGGGUAAAAGCCUACCAAGGCGACGAUCCAUAGCUGGUCUGAGAGGAUGAUCAGCCACACUGGGACUGAGACACGGCCCAGACUCCUACGGGAGGCAGCAGUGGGGAAUAUUGGACAAUGGGCGAAAGCCUGAUCCAGCAAUGCCGCGUGAGUGAUGAAGGCCUUAGGGUUGCAAAGCUCUUUUACCCGGGAUGAUAAUGACAGUACCGGGAGAAUAAGCUCCGGCUAACUCCGU
rnacentral:rRNA from 1 species